UUGAACUGGUCGCUGUGAUGG
ensembl:piRNA 21ur-1404 ncRNA